ACAUAGUGAUGAUAAAAGCAUGUACCAUGCGUUCCACAGACGUGGAACGCAUGGUACAUGCUUUUAUCAUCACUAUGU